rnacentral:rRNA from 1 species
GACGAACGCUGGCGGCGUGCUUAACACAUGCAAGUCGAACGGUGAUGCAGAGCUUGCUCUGCGGAUCAGUGGCGAACGGGUGAGUAACACGUGAGUAACCUGCCCUUGACUCUGGGAUAAGCGUUGGAAACGACGUCUAAUACCGGAUACGACCCGUGGAGGCAUCUCCUGCGGGUGGAAAGAAUUUUGGUUGAGGAUGGACUCGCGGCCUAUCAGCUUGUUGGUGAGGUAACGGCUCACCAAGGCGACGACGGGUAGCCGGCCUGAGAGGGUGACCGGCCACACUGGGACUGAGACACGGCCCAGACUCCUACGGGAGGCAGCAGUGGGGAAUAUUGCACAAUGGGCGAAAGCCUGAUGCAGCAACGCCGCGUGAGGGAUGACGGCCUUCGGGUUGUAAACCUCUUUUGGCAGGGAAGAAGCGAAAGUGACGGUACCUGCAGAAAAAGCACCGGCUAACUACGUGCCAGCAGCCGCGGUAAUACGUAGGGUGCAAGCGUUGUCCGGAAUUAUUGGGCGUAAAGAGCUCGUAAGCGGUUUGUCGCGUCUGCUGUGAAAACGCGAGGCUCAACCUCGCGCCUGCAGUGGGUACGGGCAGACUAGAGUGCGGUAGGGGAGAUUGGAAUUCCUGGUGUAGCGGUGGAAUGCGCAGAUAUCAGGAGGAACACCGAUGGCGAAGGCAGAUCUCUGGGCCGUUACUGACGCUGAGGAGCGAAAGCGUGGGGAGCGAACAGGAUUAGAUACCCUGGUAGUCCACGCCGUAAACGUUGGGAACUAGAUGUGGGGUCCAUUCCACGGAUUCCGUGUCGCAGCUAACGCAUUAAGUUCCCCGCCUGGGGAGUACGGCCGCAAGGCUAAAACUCAAAGGAAUUGACGGGGGCCCGCACAAGCGGCGGAGCAUGCGGAUUAAUUCGAUGCAACGCGAAGAACCUUACCAAGGCUUGACAUGCACCUGAAAAGGCUGGAAACAGUCUCCUCGCAAGACAGGUGCACAGGUGGUGCAUGGUUGUCGUCAGCUCGUGUCGUGAGAUGUUGGGUUAAGUCCCGCAACGAGCGCAACCCUCGUUCUAUGUUGCCAGCGCGUAAUGGCGGGAACUCAUAGGAGACUGCCGGGGUCAACUCGGAGGAAGGUGGGGAUGACGUCAAAUCAUCAUGCCCCUUAUGUCUUGGGCUUCACGCAUGCUACAAUGGCCGGUACAAAGGGCUGCAAUACCGUAAGGUGGAGCGAAUCCCAAAAAGCCGGUCUCAGUUCGGAUUGAGGUCUGCAACUCGACCUCAUGAAGUCGGAGUCGCUAGUAAUCGCAGAUCAGCAACGCUGCGGUGAAUACGUUCCCGGGCCU